rnacentral:rRNA from 1 species
AUUGAACGCUGGCGGCAGGCCUAACACAUGCAAGUUGAACGAGUGGCGGACGGGUGAGUAAUGUCUGGGAAACUGCCCGACGGAGGGGGAUAACUACUGGAAACGGUAGCUACUACCGCAUACCCUCGGAUGUGCCCUGAUGGGAUUAGCUAGUAGGUGGGGUAACGGCUCACCUCGGCGACGAUCCCUAGCUGGUAUGAGAGGAAGACCAGCCAACCUGGAACUGAGACACGGUCCAGACUCCUACGUGAGGCAGCAGUGGGGAAUAUUGCACAAUGGGCGCAAGACUGAUGCAGCCAUGCCGCGUGUAUGAAGAAGGCCUUCGGGUUGUAAAGUACUUUCAGCGAGGAGGCGUUACUCGCAGAAGAAGCACCGGCUAACUCCGUGCCAGCAGCCGCGGUAAUAC